rnacentral:rRNA from 1 species
GCAGUCGAGGGGUAACGGGGAAGCUUGCUUCCGCCGACGACCGGCGCACGGGUGCGUAACGCGUAUACAAUCUACCUUAUACUGGGGUAUAGCCUUUAGAAAUGAAGAUUAAUCCCCCAUAGUCUCUUAAAGUGGCAUCACUUAAGGAGUAAAGGUUACGGUAUAAGAUGAGUAUGCGUUCUAUUAGUUUGUUGGUGUGGUAACGGCACACCAAGACUACGAUAGAUAGGGGCCCUGAGAGGGGGAUCCCCCACACUGGUACUGAGACACGGACCAGACUCCUACGGGAGGCAGCAGUGAGGAAUAUUGGACAAUGGAGGCAACUCUGAUCCAGCCAUGCCGCGUGCAGGAUGACUGCCCUAUGGGUUGUAAACUGCUUUUAUACAGGAAGAAACUUACACACGUGUGUGUAACUGACGGUACUGUAAGAAUAAGGAUCGGCUAACUCCGUGCCAGCAGCCGCGGUAAUACGGAGGAUCCAAGCGUUAUCCGGAAUCAUUGGGUUUAAAGGGUCCGUAGGUUGAUAAUUAAGUCAGAGGUGAAAUCUUGCAGCUCAACUGUAAAAUUGCCUUUGAUACUGGUUAUCUUGAGUUAUUAUGAAGUAGUUAGAAUAUGUAGUGUAGCGGUGAAAUGCAUAGAUAUUACAUAGAAUACCAAUUGCGAAGGCAGAUUACUAAUAAUCAACUGACACUGAUGGACGAAAGCGUGGGUAGCGAACAGGAUUAGAUACCCUGGUAGUCCACGCCGUAAACGAUGGUUACUAGCUGUUUGGACCUUGUGUCUGAGUGGCUAAGCGAAAGUGAUAAGUAACCCACCUGGGGAGUACGUUCGCAAGAAUGAAACUCAAAGGAAUUGACGGGGGCCCGCACAAGCGGUGGAGCAUGUGGUUUAAUUCGAUGAUACGCGAGGAACCUUACCAGGGCUUAAAUGUAAGUUGCAUUAGUUAGAGAUAACUAUUUCUUCGGACCACUUACAAGGUGCUGCAUGGUUGUCGUCAGCUCGUGCCGUGAGGUGUCAGGUUAGCCCUAUACGAGCGCAACCCCUGUUGUUAGUUGCCAGCGAUUCAAGUCGG